rnacentral:tRNA from 1 species
ACUUAUAUAGUUUAAUGGUUAAAACUAUUGUCUCAUAUGCAAUCAAUGUUCGGGUUCAAGUCCCACUAUAAGUA